GGACUGUUAGCUCAAAGGAAGAAGCAAUCGGCUUAUAACCGAUAGAUCGGAGUUCAAUUCUCUGACAGUCUACCA
rnacentral:tRNA from 1 species